CCUACGGGAGGCAGCAGUAGGGAAUAUUUCACAAUGGGGGAAACCCUGAUGGAGCAAUGCCGCGUGUAUGAUGAAGGCUUUAGGGUCGUAAAGUACUGUUAUAAGGGAAGAACAUGUAGAUCAGGAAAUGGGUUUACACUGACGGUACCUUAUCAGAAAGGGACGGCUAACUACGUGCCAGCAGCCGCGGUAAU
rnacentral:rRNA from 1 species